rnacentral:rRNA from 1 species
ACUCCUACGGGGCAGGCAGUGGGGAAUAUUGGACAAUGGGGGAACCCUAGCAUCCAGCCAUGCCGCGUGUGUGAAGAAGGCCUUCGGGUUGUAAAGCACUUUCAGUGGGGAGGAAAGGUUGUUGGUUAAUACCUAACAGCUGUGACGUUACCCACAGAAGAAGCACCGGCUAACUCCGUGCCAGCAGCCGCGGUAAUACGGAGGGUGCAAGCGUUAAUCGGAAUUACUGGGCGUAAAGCGUGCGCAGGCGGUCUGUUAAGCGAGAUGUGAAAGCCCCGGGCUGC